GCCUUCGUGGUAUAACGGUAGCACGCUGGGCCUGUAUUCCAGAGGUCCGUGGUUCAAUUCCCGGCGAAGGCG
rnacentral:tRNA from 1 species